rnacentral:rRNA from 1 species
AUUGAACGCUGGCGGCAGGCUUAACACAUGCAAGUCGAGCGGAGUGAUGGUGCUUGCACUAUCACUUAGCGGCGGACGGGUGAGUAAUGCUUAGGAAUCUGCCUAUUAGUGGGGGACAACAUCUCGAAAGGGAUGCUAAUACCGCAUACGUCCUACGGGAGAAAGCAGGGGAUCACUUGUGACCUUGCGCUAAUAGAUGAGCCUAAGUCGGAUUAGCUAGUUGGUGGGGUAAAGGCCUACCAAGGCGACGAUCUGUAGCGGGUCUGAGAGGAUGAUCCGGCACACUGGGACUGAGACACGGCCCAGACUCCUACGGGAGGCAGCAGUGGGGAAUAUUGGACAAUGGGGGGAACCCUGAUCUAGCCAUGCCGCGUGUGUGAAGAAGGCCUUAUGGUUGUAAAGCACUUUAAGCGAGGAGGAGGCUUACCUAGUUAAUACCUGGGAUAAGUGGACGUUACUCGCAGAAUAAGCACCGGCUAACUCUGUGCCAGCCGCCGCCGUAA